rnacentral:rRNA from 1 species
GCCAUCCUACGGGGCGCAGCAGUGGGGAAUCUUCCGCAAUGGGCGCAAGCCUGAUGCAGCAACGCCGCGUGAGCGAUGAAGGCCUUCGGGUCGUAAAGCUCUGUCCUCAAGGAAGAUAAUGACGGUACUUGAGGAGGAAGCCCCGGCUAACUACGUGCCAGCAGCCGCGGUAAUACGUAGGGGGCUAGCGUUAUCCGGAAUUACUGGGCGUAAAGGGUGCGUAGGUGGUUUCUUAAGUCAGAGGUGA